CAGUCGCCGCGGUAAUACGGAGGGUGCAAGCGUUAAUCGGAAUUACUGGGCGUAAAGCGCACGCAGGCGGUCUGACAAGUCAGAUGUGAAAUCCCCGGGCUUAACCUGGGAACUGCAUUUGAAACUGUCAGGCUGGAGUCUUGUAGAGGGGGGUAGAAUUCCAGGUGUAGCGGUGAAAUGCGUAGAGAUCUGGAGGAAUACCGGUGGCGAAGGCGGCCCCCUGGACAAAGACUGACGCUCAGGUGCGAAAGCGUGGGGAGCAAACAGGAUUAGAGACCCCAGUAGUCCCUGUCUCUUAUAA
rnacentral:rRNA from 1 species